rnacentral:rRNA from 1 species
CCAAUAGCGUAUAUUAAAGUUGUUGCAGUUAAAAAGCUCGUAGUUGAAUUUCGGGAUCAAUACGUCUGUCGUGCCUUCGGUACGUACGGGUGUAAUUGGUUUCUACCUUCUGAGGAUCCUUGAUGUCAUUAAUUUGGUGUCUUGGGGAAUCAGGACUGUUACCUUGAAAAAAUUAGAGUGUUUAAAGCAGGCAUACGCUUGAAUACAUUAGCAUGGAAUAAUGAAAUAGGACGUUCGAUUCUAUUUUGUUGGUUUCUAGGAUCGACGUAAUGAUUAAUAGGGAUAGUUGGGGGCAUUAGUAUUCAAUUGUCAGAGGUGAAAUUCUUGGAUUUAUUGAAGACUAACUACUGCGAAAGCAUUUGCCAAGGAUGUUUUCAUUAAUCAAGAACGAAAGUUAGGGGAUCGAAGACGAUCAGAUACCGUCGUAGUCUUAACCAUAAACUAUGCCGACUAGGGAUCGGAUGAUGUUAAUUUUUUAAUGACUCAUUCGGCGCCUUACG